AGUGAACGCUGGCGGUAGGCCUAACACAUGCAAGUCGAACGGCAGCACAGUAAUAGCUUGUUCUUACGGGUGCCGACUGGUGGGCGGUGGCGGGGAACAUCGGAAUCUACGUUUUCUAGCGUGAUAAAGUAGGGGCUCUUACGCUAAUACCGCUUACGACCUACGUGUGAAAGCUUCGGAUCUUCCGCCCUUGCGCGAUCCUAUGUGCGGAUGUCGGAUUAGCUAGUUGGCGGGGUAAAGGCCCACCAAAGCGACGAUCCGUAGCUGGUCUGAGAGGAUGAUCAGUCACACUGGAACUGAGACACGGUCCAGACUCCUACGGGAGGCAGCAGUGGGGAAUAUUGGACAAAGGGCGCAAGCCUGAUCCAGCCAUACCGCGUGUGUGAAGAAGGCCUUCGGGUUAUAAAGCCCUUUUGUUGGGAAAGAAAAGCAGCAGGUUAAUACCUCGCUGUUCUGACGGUACCAACAGAAUAAGCACCGGCUAACUUCGUG
rnacentral:rRNA from 1 species